CGAUGAGUGCUAAGUGUUAGGGGGUUUCCGCCCCUUAGUGCUGCAGCUAACGCAUUAAGCACUCCGCCUGGGGAGUACGACCGCAAGGUUGAAACUCAAAGGAAUUGACGGGGGCCCGCACAAGCGGUGGAGCAUGUGGUUUAAUUCGAAGCAACGCGAAGAACCUUACCAGGUCUUGACAUCCUUUGACCACUCUGGAGACAGAGCUUUCCCUUCGGGGACAAAGUGACAGGUGGUGCAUGGUUGUCGUCAGCUCGUGUCGUGAGAUGUUGGGUUAAGUCCCGCAACGAGCGCAACCCUUGAUUUUAGUUGCCAGCAUUUAGUUGGGCACUCUAAAGUGACUGCCGGUGCAAGCCGGAGGAAGGUGGGGAUGACGUCAAAUCAUCAUGCCC
rnacentral:rRNA from 1 species